UACGUAGGGGGCUAGCGUUGCUCGGAAUUACUGGGCGUAAAGCGCACGUAGGCGGAUUGUUAAGUCGGGGGUGAAAUCCUGGAGCUCAACUCCAGAACUGCCUUCGAAACUGGCGAUCUUGAGUCCGGGAGAGGUGAGUGGAACUGCGAGUGUAGAGGUGAAAUUCGUAGAUAUUCGCAAGAACACCAGUGGCGAAGGCGGCUCACUGGCCCGAUACUGACGCUGAGGCACGAAAGCGUGGGGAGCAAACAGG
rnacentral:rRNA from 1 species